AAUUAAUACCAAUAGAAGGGCAAUGCUUUUAGAUUAAAAUGAAGGUGACUUAAACAGCUUAAAGUUUAGUUUAAAAGUUGUAGGUGAUUAAAAUAAUUUGAAGGCGAUCUUUUAAAAAGAGAUUAAACCGAAGGUGAUUAAAAGACCUUGAAAUCCAUGACGCAGGGAGAAUUGCGUCAUUUAAAGCCUAGUUAACGCAUUUACUAAACGCAGACGAAAAUGGAAAGAUUAAUUGGGAGUGGUAGGAUGAAACAAUUUGGAGAAGAUAGAAGUUUGAAGUGGAAAACUGGAAGACAGAAGUACGGGAAGGCGAAGAAAAGAAUAGAGAAGAUAGGGAAAUUAGAAGAUAAAAACAUACUUUUAGAAGAAAAAAGAUAAAUUUAAACCUGAAAAGUAGGAAGCAGAAGAAAAAAGACAAGCUAGGAAACAAAAAGCUAAGGGCAAAAUGUACAAACUUAGAAGAAAAUUGGAAGAUAGAAACAAGAUAGAAAAUGAAAAUAUUGUCAAGAGUUUCAGAUAGAAAAUGAAAAACAAGCUAAGACAAGUAUUGGAGAAGUAUAGAAGAUAGAAAAAUAUAAAGCCAAAAAUUGGAUAAAAUAGCACUGAAAAAAUGAGGAAAUUAUUGGUAACCAAUUUAUUUUAAAAGCCCAUCAAUUUAAUUUCUGGUGGUGCAGAAGUUAGAAGGUAAAGCUUGAGAAGAUGAGGGUGUUUACGUAGACCAGAACCAAUUUAGAAGAAUACUUGAAGCUAGAAGGGGAAGUUGGUUAAAAAUCACAUCAAAAAGCUACUAAAAGGACUGGUGUAAUUUAAAAAAAACUAAGGCAGAAGGCUUUUGGAAGAGUUAGAAGAAUUUGGAAGGCCUUAAAUAUAGUAGCUUAGUUUGAAAAAUGUGAAGGACUUUCGUAACGGAAGUAAUUCAAGAUCAAGAGUAAUUACCAACUUAAUGUUUUUGCAUUGGACUUUGAGUUAAGAUUAUUUUUUAAAUCCUGAGGACUAGCAUUAAUUGACAGCUGACCCAGGUGCUACACAGAAGUGGAUUCAGUGAAUCUAGGAAGACAGCAGCAGACAGGAUUCCAGGAACCAGUGUUUGAUGAAGCUAGGACUGAGGAGCAAGCGAGCAAGCAGCAGUUCGUGGUGAAGAUAGGAAAAGAGUCCAGGAGCCAGUGCGAUUUGGUGAAGGAAGCUAGGAAGAAGGAAGGAGCGCUAACGAUUUGGUGGUGAAGCUAGGAAAAAGGAUUCCAGGAAGGAGCGAGUGCAAUUUGGUGAUGAAGGUAGCAGGCGGCUUGGCUUGGCAACCACACGGAGGAGGCGAGCAGGCGUUGUGCGUAGAGGAUCCUAGACCAGCAUGCCAGUGUGCCAAGGCCACAGGGAAAGCGAGUGGUUGGUAAAAAUCCGUGAGGUCGGCAAUAUGUUGUUUUUCUGGAACUUACUUAUGGUAACCUUUUAUUUAUUUUCUAAUAUAAUGGGGGAGUUUCGUACUGAGGUGUAAAGGGAUUUAUAUGGGGACGUAGGCCGAUUUCCGGGUGUUGUAGGUUUCUCUUUUUCAGGCUUAUACUCAUGAAUCUUGUCUGAAGCUUUUGAGGGCAGACUGCCAAGUCCUGGAGAAAUAGUAGAUGGCAAGUUUGUGGGUUUUUUUUUUUUACACGAAUUUGAGGAAAACCAAAUGAAUUUGAUAGCCAAAUUGAGACAAUUUCAGCAAAUCUGUAAGCAGUUUGUAUGUUUAGUUGGGGUAAUGAAGUAUUUCAGUUUUGUGAAUAGAUGACCUGUUUUUACUUCCUCACCCUGAAUUCGUUUUGUAAAUGUAGAGUUUGGAUGUGUAACUGAGGCGGGGGGGAGUUUUCAGUAUUUUUUUUUGUGGGGGUGGGGGCAAAAUAUGUUUUCAGUUCUUUUUCCCUUAGGUCUGUCUAGAAUCCUAAAGGCAAAUGACUCAAGGUGUAACAGAAAACAAGAAAAUCCAAUAUCAGGAUAAUCAGACCACCACAGGUUUACAGUUUAUAGAAACUAGAGCAGUUCUCACGUUGAGGUCUGUGGAAGAGAUGUCCAUUGGAGAAAUGGCUGGUAGU
rnacentral:lncRNA from 1 species